rnacentral:snRNA from 1 species
AGAAUUCUAUCUGUCCUAUCCCAAUGGAUAGAAUGCAAUGCAAUCUAUUGCAUUCUGCAUUUGAUGACUCCUGAGAUUUCCCCAAAUGUGGGAAAUUUGACUGUAAUUUGUGGUAGUGGGGGACUGCAUUCACACUCUCCCCAA